GCCGAAAUAGCUCAGCUGUGAGAGCGUUGGACUAUAGAUCGAAAGUCCCUGGUUCGAUCCCGGGUUACGGCA
rnacentral:tRNA from 1 species